ensembl:lncRNA
AUUUUUACUUAGGUAAGAUCUUUAUUAGGGAACUAGGGAGGGAAAGCUGUGGGGUUUGGGGUUUAUUUGCUUGUGAUUAUUUAUUAGUAUCUUCCUGAGGAAACUUUCUUCUUUGCUCAUGGUUGACAACAGAGGGCAAAAAUGAAGGCAAAAUGUGGCCUAAUGCUGCCAGUUGGCCGAAAUUUUCAUUUGUGCAGAUUCUCUAGUUUUCUUCUUUUCCUAGUGUCCUCUAGCCCACUAGGUGACACUGUUUACUCAUCUAUGGUACUCCAUUUAGGACUUUCCACAAAUCAUAUUUAAAAGUAGAUGUUUUGUUUGGGGUGCUGGGGAGGGGGAAAGCGUGUUGAGAAGGAAAAUAUAAAUGAACCAGCAGUGGCUAAACUUUGAGGUACAAUUAGGGGCCAAUUGUCAUCUAUGGUUAUGUGACAUUAUGGGCUAGUUUCAAACUAUCUUUUAAGGAAUUUUAAGAGCAACAUGCAAUUAGUUUCCAAUUCUAUUCCAAGAAAUGAAGGAAAAUUGACUUCCCCUUCCCAAGCCGUCACCAAACCAAAGGAUAAAAUAAACUGUUGUAGCUUUGAAUGUAGAGUUGAGUAGAUGCUCUUGAAUGACUGUUUCCACCUCAUUCUUCAAUGAUAGUUAAUGAGGGCACAGACCACUAAUAAGCAGUGGAAGCAGCUUCUAGGCUAAGCUUAAAUUGGGCCUUCAAAUCUAAUCAAAAUUAGUCACUGCUGAGAAGAAACCAAAUGUGGUGUGUCCAUUUGGAUGUGGAGUUUGGAGAGGCCCUCCUUGUUUUCCAGGUUGUGAGCCACAGGAAGCGUGUCAACCAUGUCAAACCAGAAGAUCAAGAAAUCAAAGAUUCCAUUCGCUUGCCUUAGAGUUUGAGGAGCCCCGAACCUAUUUUACACAGAAUGUUUCUUGGAUAUAACGCUGCUAAUAACCCUAAUUGCAAGUCAGAUCUGUGAUGCUGUAGCACUCCACACCUUCCCAGUGGCUGCAAUUACACACAUCAAGUUUCAGAAUGAACGACGAGUCUACAGACCUGUGCCAAGGAGCCAAAGAGAAGAGAUCAGAAUAACCAAGAUGGAGUCUUGCUCUGUCACCCAGGCUGGAGUGCAGUGGCGCGAGCUCAGCUCACUGCAACUCCGUCUCCCAAGUUCAAGUGAUUCUCCUGCCUCAGCCUCCCGAGUAGCUGGGAUUACAUGCACCUGCCACCACACUCAGACGGAGUCUUGCUUUGUCAUCCAGGCUGGAGUAUAAUGAUGGAAUCUCGGCUCACUGCAACCUCUGCCUGCCUCCCAGGUUCAAGCAAUUACCAGGCCUCAGCCUCCUGAGUAGCUGACAGGUGCACACCGUGCCUGGCUAAUUUUUUUGUAUUUUUAGUAGAGAUGGGGUUUCACCAUGUUGACCAGGCUGGUCUUGAACUCCUGACCUCAAGUGAUCUGCCCACCUCGGCCUCCCAAAGUGCAGGGACUACAGGUGUGAGCCACUGUGCCUGGUCAUUAUUCUAAUCUUCAUUACCAUGCAUUUGUUUGCUUGCUAACUUUAUAUAAAUAAAAUCAUACAGUAUAUACUUUUGGAGUCUGGGUUUUCUCCUAAUAUAAUAUUCUUGACCCAAGUGUUAUUUAAUAACGUGUGUUUUAAUUUCUAGGUGAAAAGUCCUUUUUGGUUUUUGAUCUUGUUAAUUUUUGCAUUUUAGUCAAAGAAUAUUAUGUAUAUUAUUUCCUCUUCUUUUUUUAAAACAACCAAGUAAUCAAGUUUUAGUUAGUAUCAGCAGCAUGUUUGCCAUUUUCCAGUGCUUCUCAUCCCUUCAUGCAUUACCAUACUUCCAUCUGAAAUAAUUUCUAUUUUGCCAAAAGAACUUAAUUUGGUAUUUCUUUUAGUUUAGACUUGCUGACUAUGAAUUCUCUUAGGUUUUGUUUGUCUGAAAUCAUUUUUAUUUUACCUUCUUUCUAGAAGAUUAUU